UUUGUUCCACAGGCUGCAGGAUUGUAGUUCUGCUUGCUUCUGCUGUCUGCCCUCUGGUGGAUGAGGCUAUCUAAGAGGCUUGUGCCAGUAUCCUGAUGGGAGGAACUGGUGGUGGGUUGAGCUGGGUGUUGCUCUUGUUGGCAGAGCUCAGUAAAACUUUAAUCUGCUUGUCUGCUGAUGGGUGGGGCCGGGUUCCCUCCCUGUUGUUUGGUUGUCCUGAGGUGACCCAACACUGGAGCCUACCAGGCUCUUUGGUGGGACUAAUGGAGGACUCCAGGAGGGCUCACACCAAGGAGUAUUUUCCAGAACUUCUGCCAUUGUCCUCAUCCUCAUGGUGAUCCACAGCCAACCCCCAUCUCUGCAGGAGACCCUCCAACAGUAGCAGGUAGACAUUCCUUGGCACUGGAAGUGGGAUCCAAAGGAGAUGACCCCCAAAGGACAAUGACCCUCAGAAUUGUGUGAAGUACCCACACAAAAGCCCUUGAGCUCAUCGCUUCUGACCGGCAAGAUGACAGAGGAGUAAGAUGUGGAAGUUACCUUCCUCCCCACAAAUACAUUAAGAAUACAUCUACAUGUAGAACAGCGCCUACAGAACAACUACUGAAUGCUGAUAGGGGACCUCAGACUUCCAAAAAGGCAAGAAAAUCCCCACGUAACUGGUAGGGAAGAAGAAAAAAAGAAAGAGGAAAGGAAUUGGGAUGGGACCUGCCCCUCUGGGAGGGAGCUGUGAAGGAGCAAAAGUUUCCACACACUAGGAAGACCAUUCACUGGCGGGGACUGCAGGGUAGCUCUGGAACCUCAGAGGAGAGCGCAGCAACAGAGGUGCAGAGGCAGAGCGGAGAGAUUCCCACACGGAGGAUUGGUGCAGACUGGCACUCACCAGCCUGAGAUGCUUGUCUGCUCACUUGCUGGGGCGGGUGGGGGCUGGGUGCUGAGGCUUGGUCUUCAGAGGUCAGAACCCAGGGAGAGGACUGGGGUUUACUGCAUGAGGACAGCCGGGAGCCGGCUAGUGUGCCAGAGGUAGUUGGCAGGGAGUCUGGGAAUAAGCCCGGGCCUGCCAGAGAGGCAAGAGACCUUUGUUGUGGGGUGCUUGAGGAGUGGCCUGCCAUAGGACCUUCCUGCUUCACACGCUCACAGAGAGCAGGGCAACACCUACAUGAGCACAAGCACAAGCCGUGGCUGUUAUAUCUGACCCCAGAGGCUGCCGUCCACCGCUGAUACCAAGAGUCCUGUGUGCAAGGCAGGUCACUGCCCACACCUUCCCAGCAGCCUGUGGAGCCCACCACUGCCAAGGGUCCUGCGAUUGGGGCCAACUUCCCCAGGAGAACGCACAGCACGCCUCAGGCUCCUGCAGCUUCACGCUGGCCUCUGCCACAGAAGGCACUCCCUGCACAUUCUGAUUGUGACUGCCAUAUCCCUCCCUCUUCCCAGCCUGAGUGAGCAAGUGAGCCCUAAUCAGCUGCUGCUUUCACACCCUUUUGCCUGUGCAGGGAACAGAUGUCUGAGGGCGACCCACUCCCAGAGGUGGGGCCAAAACCAAAGCUAAACCCCAGGGGCUGUGCAACCAAAGAAGAGAAAGGGAAAUCUCCCCGUGCAGCUGCAGAAGCAGUGGAUUAAAUCCCUGCAAUCAGCUUGGCAAGCCCUGCAUCUGUAGAAUACCUGAAUAGACAACAAGUUUUCCCACAAUUGAGGCUGUGGACUUUGGGGGCAAGUACAUGUGGGAGUAAGGUCAGAUCAGUCUGAGCUGGCCCCACAGUGCCCACAGCAGGUUCAGAGACCUACCUAGAAGUACUGGAGGACUUCCUGUGGAGGCAGGGAUUGGCUGUGGCUCACUAUGGGGGCAAAGACACUGACAGCUAAGGCCACAGGAAAAUAUCACUACUUUUUUUUUUGUUGUUCAGUUGUUCUUUUUGUAUUAUUCUUUUAAUUUUAAUGUUUUAUUUACUUUUUCUUUUUUAUGCUUUUACUUUUAGUAUAUUUUUAUUCUAUUUAUUUUUUUCCUACUUCUAUUGUAAUUUUUCA